rnacentral:rRNA from 1 species
AUGGAGAUCCAUCCAUGCAAAGCGCCGCCAUCGACCCUUCUCCUAGACUCCCAUGUAUGUGUGACGGCGCGGCGCUCAUCACCGCCCGUACCUAGCGGCGGCGACAUCCCUUCUAUGAGUAUGGAUCCAGCAACUUCCGAUAAAGCACCAAAUCAAUCUCCCCGUACCCUUGCAGAGAUGGAACCUAGGCUCGGUUGCGAAUUUUCAUUGCAAACCAAUGGUGCCAAUAAUAGAUAA